AAAGUGCCUGUGAAGUGAAACUUUACCUUUCUACGUCACCAGCUUCCUGUUAGAGCAGAGUUUUUCUUUGCUCAAAGUCUAAGCACUGAAGAACUUCUUUUUAGUAGGUAGAUUUUUGUUUGUUUGUUUGUUUGUUUUUGAGACGGAGUCUCACUCUGUGGCCCAGGCUGUGGUGCAGUGGCGCGAUCUCGGCUCACUGCAAGCUCUGCCUCCCGGGUUCACACCAUUCUCCUGCCUCAGCCUCCCGAGUAGCUGGGACUACAGGUGCCAGCCACCACGCCUGGCUAAUUUUUUUGCAUUUUUUAGUAGAGAUGGGGUUUCAUCGUGUUAGCCAGGCUGGUCUUGAUCUCCUGACCUCAUGAUCCGCCCGCCUUGGCCUCCCAGAGUGCUGGGAUCACAGGCGUGAUUUAGUAGGUAGUUUUGAGUAGGGAGUAUACAUUUAAAAUGCUGAAACUCAGUUAAGGAAUAAUCUAAUACUGUAUUAAACUGAAACUCAGUUGAGAAAUUUCUUUCCAAUAAAAAGGAAAAUCAACUGCAGUAAUGAGGGAGAUGAUUCUGCUGAUAAUUACAACAAAUAUUUACCACAGACCUGUUAGGCACCAUGAACUGUACUAAAUAUUUUAUACAUAUAACUUUAUCUUGUGCUCCAACAACCUAUUACAUAGAAAUUGCUAUUAUUCCCAUUUUCUAGAUUAAUAAAUUGGUAUAGAGGGGUCGUAUAGGUGAAACAACUCACUCAAUAUCACAAGCUGUUAUGUGGUGAAGUUUGCAUGAUCAGUACAGGGUUCUGGUCGUCCCACUCAUUGAGUGGUGCUGGUCAAGAUCUGGAAGCUCUUCUGGUCUUAGUUUCUCUAGCUGUGAAGUGACAAUGAUUAGGUCUAAUCAUAGAACAUGAGAGUACAUGUGAAAAAAAUGCCUUUUUAAAGAGUAUGAAAAACUUGAGUUGUAAAAUUUUCUUGUGGAUAAUUUAUUAUUGCUUUUCUUUUUUAGAUAACACUAACAAAGUUGACCUUAGAAUUGGAGUGCCCGGGUUAGAACCUUGCUGGUACCACCUGCUUACUGUAAGACCUUGGUCAAGUUAUUAACUUUUCUGUUCCUCAUUUGUGAAAUAUUGUGAAAAAUAGUUUGUCUGUCUGUCUGCCUGUCUGAGAACAGUACUGGCACAAAAGUGCUUAAUACACUUCAGUGAUUAUUAUUAAUAUUACUAUUGUUGCAUUUUCCCCUUGAAGGCAUGCUUCUGAUGUGAGUUCAGGAGAAGCCACUGGCAAGGACAGCAAAGAACAGGAGAACACUCUAGCUUCCCUGAUAGCAUUCAAGGUGCUGUCCAAACUGACUGUGAUGGCACCCUCCAGACAGACAGCGAUGCCACAUGUUCAAGAUGGCAGAAUCACUAACAGCUUCAAUUCCUGAAUGACUGCAGAGCAAAAUUUCUUACCCGCAACAUACACUCUAUUUUCAGCCUCCCUGGACUGUUACAUAAUGAUACAUAAAAAUAUUUCUUGUGUUGAGGCAUCCCAAAUUUGAUCUAUUUGUCAUCACAGUUUAUCCUACGAAUAUAUUUCUGAUCCAAAUAAUGCUAGAUUCAUGAGAGUUUAUAGUCCAGAGAUUUUUUUUUUUUUUUUUUUUUGAGACAGAAUCUCACUGUCUGCCAGGCUGGGGUGCAGUGGCAUAAUCUUAGCUCACUGCAACCUCCGCCUCCUGGGCUCAAGUGAUCCUCCCUCCUUAGCCUCCAUGAAUAGCUGGGACCACAGGUGUGCACCACCCCACCCAGCUAAUUAUUUUGUAUUUUUUGCAGAGACGGGGUUUCACCACAUUGCCCAAGCUGGUCUCAAACUCCUAGACUUAAGGGAUCUUCCCGCCUUGGCCUCCCAAAAUGCUGAAAUUACAUGUGUUAGCCAUAGUAAUAGUUCCUAGCCAUAGUCCAGAGAUAUUUUAAAAACUUUAGUGUGAGUUAUUUCUCUUUGCUAUAAUUCUCUCAUGCAUUUUGAAAACCUUUUCUGCCAUACAGUGGUUUUUGGGAAGUCCUUUUGGACAGACAUAUCACAGGAUGGAGAAACUAAAAAGAGAGAGAAUGCAUUAAAGAAAAAAUAGUACUUCAUAUUUCAGAAAUUACAAAAGGUUGUCAUGCCCCACAGCAUGGUGGGCAGUCAUUUGUAACCCACAGAACAUUGAGUUUCUAAAAUUUGAGUGUUUUUUAACUUACGAAGGCCAACUUUACUGAUGAAGUGGUUACCCCAAAUAUGUGAAAUCCAUAUUUCAAGCACAAUAGCAGGAAAUCGGAAAUGGGUAGGUAUAUUUCUGACUGUCAAAGAGUACAAAGUAAAGAGGGGCCCCUGAAGAGUGACACUACUG
rnacentral:sRNA from 1 species